AGAGUUUGAUCCUGGCUCAGGAUGAACGCUGGCGGCGUGCCUAACACAUGCAAGUCGAACGAAGCUUGACGGAUGAUUUCUUCGGAAUGAAACCUGAUAUGACUUAGUGGCGGACGGGUGAGUAACACGUGAGCAACCUGCCUUUCAGAGGGGGAUAACGGCUGGAAACGGUCGCUAAUACCGCAUGACGUGUUCGGAUGGCAUCAUCUGAACAUCAAAGAUUUAUCGCUGAAAGAUGGGCUCGCGUCUGAUUAGAUAGUUGGUGGGGUAACGGCCUACCAAGUCUACGAUCAGUAGCCGGACUGAGAGGUUGAACGGCCACAUUGGGACUGAGAUACGGCCCAGACUCCUACGGGAGGCAGCAGUGGGGAAUAUUGCACAAUGGGGGAAACCCUGAUGCAGCAACGCCGCGUGAAGGAUGACGGUUUUCGGAUUGUAAACUUCUUUUCUUAGUGACGAAGACAGUGACGGUAGCUAAGGAAUAAGCAUCGGCUAACUACGUGCCAGCAGCCGCGGUAAUACGUAGGAUGCAAGCGUUAUCCGGAUUUACUGGGUGUAAAGGGAGCGCAGGCGGGACUGCAAGUUGGAUGUGAAAUACCGUGGCUUAACCACGGAACUGCAUCCAAAACUGUAGUUCUUGAGUGAAGUAGAGGCAAGCGGAAUUCCGAGUGUAGCGGUGAAAUGCGUAGAUAUUCGGAGGAACACCAGUGGCGAAGGCGGCUUGCUGGGCUUUAACUGACGCUGAGGCUCGAAAGUGUGGGGAGCAAACAGGAUUAGAUACCCUGGUAGUCCACACUGUAAACGAUGAUUACUAGGUGUUGGAGGAUUGACCCCUUCAGUGCCGCAGUUAACACAAUAAGUAAUCCACCUGGGGAGUACGACCGCAAGGUUGAAACUCAAAGGAAU
rnacentral:rRNA from 1 species